UACGGAGGGGGCUAGCGUUGUUCGGAAUUACUGGGCGUAAAGCGCGCGUAGGCGGCUUUGUAAGUUAGAGGUGAAAGCCCGGAGCUUAACUCCGGAACUGCCUUUAAGACUGCAUCGCUAGAAUUGUGGAGAGGUAAGUGGAAUUCCGAGUGUAGAGGUGAAAUUCGUAGAUAUUCGGAAGAACACCAGUGGCGAAGGCGACUUACUGGACACAUAUUGACGCUGAGGUGCGAAAGCGUGGGGAGCAAACGGG
rnacentral:rRNA from 1 species